UUUAAAAAACUAAUUUCACUACUGUUGUUUACUCCGUAAGUCUUUCCUUUUGGCUUAUUGAAAUCAUAGCAUCUAAUAAUCGUCUUGAUGAAAAGAAAUGUCAGGUAACUUUCUGUGGAUCUCUGACACAAACAAGCUAAACUGGACAAAGUAACUGAUACUUCUCCUGCUAUAUUCUUCCCAGAUACUCCAAUCACGCAUGACAAAAGCAAUUUAUUCAGAUUCACAUUUCCACUACAAUUCUAUGCCUUUUAUCAUUGUUUCUAACGUUCUGUGUUCUGGGUCCCCGUCAGCUUGGUGAGCUAGCCUUUUUUAGUUAUGAACUUCUCCAGGAAUAAAGACAUGUGGAGGCUAGUAUUUUUGUUGUUUCUUGGCCAAGUGGUUUCUUUUGUAAUGGCAUUAAUGAGCUUCACCUCUUCAUUGAUAGCCAGUCUUGGUGCAGAUACACCUCUUACUCUAUCAUUCUUCUCUUACUCGGCCUUGACUUUGGUGUAUGGAGGCAUCUUGAUUUACAGACGACAGAAACUGCUGGUCCCUUGGUAUUGGUAUCUUCUGUUAGGUUUUGUUGACGUCCAAGGGAAUUAUCUUGUUAAUAAAGCAUACCAGUAUUCAUCAAUUACCAGCGUGACAAUCCUGGAUUGUUGGACAAUAGCAUGGGUAAUCAUUCUGACAUGGACAUUCCUCGAUACCCGGUAUAGCCCCUGGCAGUUCUUUGGUGCAGCUGUCUGUGUGUCUGGUCUCGUUGUGGUUCUUCUUUCUGAUGCUGCGGUGGGUGGUGGAGGUGGUUCAAGGCCUAUUCUUGGUGAUAUACUUGUAAUUGCGGGCACAGUUUUCUUUGCAUUGAGCAAUGUUGGUGAGGAAUUUUGUGUGAAGAAAAAAGAUCGUGUUGAAGUGGUUGCCCUACUUAGUCUUUUUGCAAUGCUUGUGAGUAUUGGGGAGAUAGCUGUCAUGGAGCGUAAGAGUCUGGAAUCUGUAAAGUGGUCUGCAGAAAUUAUAUUGGCCUUCUUUGGUUACGCAGCCGCAAGCUUUACAUUCUACUCAGUCGUUCCUUUCGUCUUGAAGAUGAGUGGAGCCACUCUCUUCAAUCUCUCUAUUCUCACGUCUGACAUGUGGGCAGUUGUCAUUCGGAUAUUUUUCUACAAGCAGCAGGUUGACUGGCUUUACUAUUUAGCUUUUGCACUUGUGUUUGUUGGCCUGAUUAUAUACUCUAAAAGAGUUGCAUCUUCGUGUAACUUUCAAUGCCUUGGGGGAUUCGACAGUGAGAAGAAUCCAGCUGCUGCUGCUGCUGCUGCUGAGGAUGGAGACCCCAACUCACAAUGCCCGUUGCUUGAUGAAGAAACCACAGAUUUCAGGAACCAGGCCGUGUCUUCAUGAAUUUGAAUCAGAAGAGGCAAGAAGGGUAUUCUCACUGCUGAUAGACUGGGGAUGAAGUUCAAAGCUGCUGCUAGGCAAUACAAUAUGAAUGUGCCUGAAGAUAUGAAAGCUCGAAUUGUUGUUUUGAUUGAUGUAGUAGUGCGAAACUGCAAAUUAUAUAUUUACUCGUGUUAUUAUCUCCGCACAUAUUCUUUUUGGUUCUGAUCUCAUAUUUAAGGGACUGACAUAUGAAAACAAAUAGUAUAACAAUUUGAUGUCGAAAUCAAUUCCCAUUCUUUCUUGG